rnacentral:misc_RNA from 1 species
GUAGGUGAACCUGCGGAAGGAUCAUUACAGUGUUUCUCUGCCCUCACGGAUAGAAACGCCCACCCUUGUGUAUUAUAUAUUGUUGCUUUGGCAGUCCGCCCUCGGGCACCGGCUUCGGCUGGAUCGCGUCUGCCAGAGGAUUCCAAACUCUGAAUGUCAAUGUCGUCUGAGUACUAUUUAAUAGUUAAAACUUUCAACAACGGAUCUCUUGGUUCUG